CGCCUCCUGCCAACCUAUAGGAGGUCCAGCCUGCCCGGUGACCUAGUUUAACGGCCGCGGUAUCCUAACCGUGCGAAGGUAGCGUAAUCACCUGUUUUUUAAUUGAAGACCUGUAUGAAAGGCAUCACGAGAAUCGUACUGUCUCCUUUUUCCAAUCAGUGAAACUAAUCUCCCCGUGAAAAAGCGGGGAUAUAAAUACAAGACGAGAAGACCCUCUGGAGCUUAAGAUAAAGUAACGUUUUGUACUCUCUUAUCCCACCUAUUUCUUUAAACACUUACAUUACAAAUCUUCGGUUGGGGCAACCGCGGAGUAAAACUCACCCUCCAAGCUGAAUGGAAUUUUCCUAAACAAAAAGACACAGCUUAAUGUAUCAAUAAAUUGACAUCAUGACCCAAUAUUUUGAUUAUCGAACCAAGUUACCCUAGGGAUAACAGCGCAAUCCACUUCAAGAGUUCAUAUCGACAAGUGGGCUUACGACCUCGAUGUUGGAUCAAGGUAUCCCAGUGGUGCAGCCGCUACUAAUGGUUCGUUUGUUCAACG
rnacentral:rRNA from 1 species